UACGUAGGGAGCAAGCGUUGUCCGGAAUCAUUGGGCGUAAAGCGCGCGUAGGCGGCCCUGUAAGUCCGCUGUGAAAGUCAAAGGCUCAACCUUUGAAUGCCGGUGGAUACUGCAGGGCUAGAGUCCGGAAGAGGCAAGUGGAAUUCCUGGUGUAGCGGUGGAAUGCGCAGAUAUCAGGAGGAACACCAACGGCGAAGGCAGCUUGCUGGGACGGUACUGACGCUAAGGCGCGAAAGCGUGGGAGCGACG
rnacentral:rRNA from 1 species